rnacentral:tRNA from 1 species
GGGGCCUUAGCUCAGCUGGGAGAGCGCUACGCUGGCAGCGUAGAGGUCAGGGGUUCAAGCCCCCUAGGCUCCACCA